rnacentral:rRNA from 1 species
UGAACGCUGGCGGCGUGCCUAAUACAUGCAAGUCGAACGAGUUCUCGUUGAUGAUCGGUGCUUGCACCGAGAUUCAACAUAGAACGAGUGGCGGACGGGUGAGUAACACGUGGGUAACCUGCCCUUAAGUGGGGGAUAACAUUUGGAAACAGAUGCUAAUACCGCAUAGAUCCAAGAACCGCAUGGUUCUUGGCUGAAAGAUGGCGUAAGCUAUCGCUUUUGGAUGGACCCGCGGCGUAUUAGCUAGUUGGUGAGGUAAUGGCUCACCAAGGCGAUGAUACGUAGCCGAACUGAGAGGUUGAUCGGCCACAUUGGGACUGAGACACGGCCCAAACUCCUACGGGAGGCAGCAGUAGGGAAUCUUCCACAAUGGACGCAAGUCUGAUGGAGCAACGCCGCGUGAGUGAAGAAGGCUUUCGGGUCGUAAAACUCUGUUGUUGGAGAAGAAUGGUCGGCAGAGUAACUGUUGUCGGCGUGACGGUAUCCAACCAGAAAGCCACGGCUAACUACGUGCCAGCAGCCGCGGUAAUACGUAGGUGGCAAGCGUUAUCCGGAUUUAUUGGGCGUAAAGCGAGCGCAGGCGGUUUUUUAAGUCUGAUGUGAAAGCCCUCGGCUUAACCGAGGAAGCGCAUCGGAAACUGGGAAACUUGAGUGCAGAAGAGGACAGUGGAACUCCAUGUGUAGCGGUGAAAUGCGUAGAUAUAUGGAAGAACACCAGUGGCGAAGGCGGCUGUCUGGUCUGUAACUGACGCUGAGGCUCGAAAGCAUGGGUAGCGAACAGGAUUAGAUACCCUGGUAGUCCAUGCCGUAAACGAUGAAUGCUAGGUGUUGGAGGGUUUCCGCCCUUCAGUGCCGCAGCUAACGCAUUAAGCAUUCCGCCUGGGGAGUACGACCGCAAGGUUGAAACUCAAAGGAAUUGACGGGGGCCCGCACAAGCGGUGGAGCAUGUGGUUUAAUUCGAAGCAACGCGAAGAACCUUACCAGGUCUUGACAUCUUUUGAUCACCUGAGAGAUCAGGUUUCCCCUUCGGGGGCAAAAUGACAGGUGGUGCAUGGUUGUCGUCAGCUCGUGUCGUGAGAUGUUGGGUUAAGUCCCGCAACGAGCGCAACCCUUAUGACUAGUUGCCAGCAUUUAGUUGGGCACUCUAGUAAGACUGCCGGUGACAAACCGGAGGAAGGUGGGGAUGACGUCAAAUCAUCAUGCCCCUUAUGACCUGGGCUACACACGUGCUACAAUGGAUGGUACAACGAGUUGCAAGACCGCGAGGUCAAGCUAAUCUCUUAAAGCCAUUCUCAGUUCGGACUGUAGGCUGCAACUCGCCUACACGAAGUCGGAAUCGCUAGUAAUCGCGGAUCAGCACGCCGCGGUGAAUACGUUCCCGGGCCUUGUACACACCGCCCGUCACACCAUGAGAGUUUGUAACACCCGAAGCCGGUGGCGUAACCCUUUUAGGGAGCGAGCCGUCUAAGGUGGGAC